UACGGAGGGAGCUAGCGUUGUUCGGAAUUACUGGGCGUAAAGCGCGCGUAGGCGGCUUUGUAAGUCAGAGGUGAAAUCCCGGGGCUCAACUCCGGAACUGCCUUUGAAGCUACAUCGCUAUAGUCUUGGAGAGGUGAGUGGAAUUCCGAGUGUAGAGGUGGAAUUCGUAGAUAUUCGGAAGAACACCAGUGGCGAAGGCGACUCACUGGACAAGUACUGACGCUGAGGUGCGAAAGCAUGGGGAGCAAACAGG
rnacentral:misc_RNA from 1 species